rnacentral:tRNA from 1 species
GGGCGCGUAGCUCAGAGGUUAGAGCAUCCGUCUUAUAAGCGGAAGGUCGGUGGUUCAAAUCCACCCACGCCCAC